GUCCUGCCCCCCCUCCCGCAG
rnacentral:miRNA from 1 species